rnacentral:rRNA from 1 species
AUUGAACGCUGGCGGCAUGCUUUACACAUGCAAGUCUAACGGCAGCACGGGCUUCGGCCUGGUGGCGAGUGGCGAACGGGUGAGUAAUGCAUCGGAACGUGCCCAUUUGUGGGGGAUAACUACGCGAAAGCGUGGCUAAUACCGCAUACGCCCUGAGGGGGAAAGCGGGGGAUUCUUCGGAACCUCGCGCAAUUGGAGCGGCCGAUGUCAGAUUAGCUUGUUGGUGAGGUAAAGGCUCACCAAGGCGACGAUCUGUAGCGGGUCUGAGAGGAUGAUCCGCCACACUGGGACUGAGACACGGCCCAGACUCCUACGGGAGGCAGCAGUGGGGAAUUUUGGACAAUGGGGGCAACCCUGAUCCAGCCAUGCCGCGUGAGUGAAGAAGG